UGGGGAAUAUUGCACAAUGGGCGCAAGCCUGAUGCAGCAACGCCGCGUGAACGAUGAAGGUCUUCGGAUCGUAAAGUUCUGUUGCAGGGGAAGAUAAUGACGGUACCCUGUGAGGAAGCCCCGGCUAACUACGUGCCAGCAGCCGCGGUAAUACGUAGGGGGCUAGCGUUAUCCGGAUUUACUGGGCGUAAAGGGUGCGUAGGUGGUCGUUCAAGUCGGUGGUUAAAGGCUACGGCUAAACCGUAGUUAGCCUCCGAAACUGGAGGACUGGAGUGCAGGGGAGUAAAGUGGAAUUCCCAGGGAGGCGGUGAAAUGAGUAGAUAUUGGGAGGAACACCAGUAGCGAAGGCGGCUUUCUGGACUGUAACUGAGACUGGGGCAGGAAAGCGUGGGUAGCAAACAGG
rnacentral:rRNA from 1 species